GUCGAACGGGGUCCUUCGGGGCCCAGUGGCGCACGGGUGCGUAACGCGUAUGCAACCUACCUUCAACUGGGGGAUAGCCCGGAGAAAUCCGGAUUAAUACCGCAUACGACCACGGGAGGACAUCCGAAGGUGGUGAAAGAUUUAUCGGUUGGAGAUGGGCAUGCGUGCCAUUAGCUAGUUGGUGGUGUAACGGACCACCAAGGCGACGAUGGCUAGGGGUUCUGAGAGGACGGUCCCCCACACUGGCACUGAGAUACGGGCCAGACUCCUACGGGAGGCAGCAGUAGGGAAUAUUGGGCAAUGGGCGGAAGCCUGACCCAGCCAUGCCGCGUGCAGGAUGAAGGCCUUCUGGGUUGUAAACUGCUUUUAUCAGGGAAGAAAACACCCAUGCGUGGGGAACUGACGGUACCUGAGGAAUAAGCACCGGCUAACUCCGUGCCAGCAGCCGCGGUAAUACGGAGGGUGCAAGCGUUGUCCGGAUUUAUUGGGUUUAAAGGGUGCGUAGGCGGCCCCUUAAGUCAGCGGUGAAAGCCCGGGGCUCAACCCCGGAACCGCCGUUGAUACUGGGGGGCUUGAGUACAGACGAGGUUGGCGGAAUUGAGGGUGUAGCGGUGAAAUGCUUAGAUACCCUCAAGAACACCGAUUGCGUAGGCAGCUAACUAGGCUGUAACUGACGCUGAGGCACGAAAGCGUGGGGAGCGAACAGGAUUAGAUACCCUGGUAGUCCACGCCGUAAACGAUGAUUACUCGAUGUCGGCGACAGACCGUCGGCGUCUUAGCG
rnacentral:rRNA from 1 species